rnacentral:rRNA from 1 species
UACGGAGGGUGCAAGCGGUAUCCGGAAUUACUGGGCGUAAAGCGCGUGUAGGCGGGUCUGUAAGUCUGUCGUGAAAGCUCCCGGCUAAACUGGGAGAGGUCGAUGGAAACUACAGGUCUGGAGUUUGGCAGAGGAAUGUGGAAUUCCGCGUGUAGUGGUGAAAUGCGUAGAGAUGCGGAGGAACACCAGUGGCGAAGGCGGCAUUCUGGGCCCCAACUGACGCUGAGACGCGAAAGCAUGGGUAGCGAACGGG